GCAUGGGUUUGGAUUUAUGGCAGGCCCGUUCCCCUGGGCCUGUCAUAGUGUCCCGUGCUAGAGCAACCCGUGGCCCCGAACCAUUGCCUGGCCUCUGUCUGUAGGCUGCUGGCACUGAAGUGGGUCGCACAGUUAAGUCUUCGAGGUCGCACCGAA
ensembl:snoRNA Gm26205 predicted gene, 26205